GAAGGCACUCUCAACUUUCAUCAAGAUUCGCGAACACAGGUGGUGCAUGGCUGUCGUCAGUUCCGUUAAGUAUCCCGCCUGGGGAGUACGCCGGCAACGGUGAAACUCAAAGGAAUUGACGGGGGCCCGCACAAGCGGUGGAGUAUGUGGUUUAAUUCGAUGCAACGCGAAGAACCUUACCAAGGCUUGACAUGUCGCGAAUCUUGAUGAAAGUUGAGAGUGCCUUC
rnacentral:rRNA from 1 species